rnacentral:tRNA from 1 species
UUCCCAACCCAGGGAUCAAACCCAGGUCUCCCGCAUUGCAGGCAGAUUCUUUACCAACUGAGCCACAAUGGA